CUGCGUGAGUUGUCUCCUGCUGUAAAUAUGAAUGGAGAGUAAAGUUGAUGGGAAAAGGUGGGCAGUAUGCUAGUUGUAGAUGCUCAUAAAGGACCAUCACACACAC
rfam:Oryza brachyantha chromosome 4, whole genome shotgun sequence.